rnacentral:tRNA from 1 species
GGUGGCUCAGUAGUAGAGAGCUUGCCUUGCAUGCAUGAGGCCCUGGGUUUGAUUCCCCAGCACCA